UACGUAGGGUGCGAGCGUUAAUCGGAAUUACUGGGCGUAAAGCGUACGCAGGCGGCUUUGCAAGACAGGUGUGAAAUCCCCCGGGCCUAACCUGGGAACUGCAUUUGUGACUGCAUGGCUAGAGUUUGUCAGAGGGGGGUGGAAUUCCACGUGUAGCAGUGAAAUGCGUAGAUAUGUGGAGGAACACCGAUGGCGAAGGCAGCCCCCUGGGAUGUGACUGACGCUCAUGUACGAAAGCGUGGGGAGCAAACAGG
rnacentral:rRNA from 1 species